rnacentral:lncRNA from 1 species
CUUCUUCAUUGAUUAAUUAUCGUCCAAUACAUAGAAUAUUUAAAGAGCUUUCCUAAUAGUGAUAAGCUCAAAACAAAAUCCUAACAAUAAAAUAUCUACCAAAUUAACAACCUUCAUAACAACUACUAGAUAAAAUCCUAACAAUAAAAUCUCUACCAACUUAACAACUUCCAUAACAUCUUCUAGAUAAAAUCCUAACAAAAUCCUAACAACCUGAUAAGCUCAAAUAACUGAAAAGCGAAUAUCCUAGAUGCUUCUAGAAAUUCGUAGGUUCGAUUCAAUCCGGACCUAUCUCUGGUCGUUCAAGCCAUAAGUCCCAAUUGCGGUUGCGGCGUCGACGACAUUCGUACACCCGAAAGGCCCGAUCCGCAUCAGCUCUCUCCGCCUUUGAAAAUUUUGACUCCGUCGAAUUGUUUGAAAUAUACUCUUCAUACAAAUCAGGGGCCAACUGUUGGAGUUCCUUUUGUGAAAUCCAAGUGGCAUCCUCGUCCGGCCGAUAUAAUCAUUUGACUAAAAAGCUGCGAUCUCCGCCAUCCCUCGUUGACACAACAUGAUCGUCAAGAAUCGCCUCGAUGUCAUUUUUCUUUUCCUGCCAUGGGGUUCUUGGGACAAGUGGAGAUGAAAAUGAAUGGGACAACGAAUUUGUAUAUCUGGAUGGUAUAAAGUAAGAUCCUCAACAUUGAUAGUAGGAUUAAUUUCCAUGUCAGAUAGCAAAUCCAACAAAUAGGCAUUAGACCCAAUUUUUUUGAGAACCUUAAAUGGACCCAUGUUUUUUGCAUGUAGCUUUUUAAUAGUCCCGUGCGGAAGCCUCUCCGGUCGAAUCCGCACCAUCACAAAAUCUCCUUCUUCAAAUUCAACGUCUCGCCUAUGAGCAUCAGCUUCCCUCUUAUAGUUUUCAUUAUUUACAUUUAUUUUUCAUUGAAUUUCGUAAUGUAAAUCCCACAUAUGCUGUGCAAAUGAAGAUGCUUGUUCACUAGGUCUUUGUUCUAUGGGAAGAGAAAUUAAAUCGAUUGGUUUGUUUGGGUCAUAUCCUGUCACUAUUUUAAAAGGGCUCAUUUCAGUGGUUCGAUUGAUUGAACUAUUAUAUGCAAAUUCAGCUUGCGGUAGAAUAAGAUCCCAAUUUUUAACAUUAUCACCAACUAGACAUCGAAGUAGGUUUCCCAAACUUCGAUUGACUACCUCGGUUUGACCGUCAAUUUGUGGAUGAUGCGAAGAUGAGAAAAGCAAUUUUGUGCCCAUAGUUUUUCACAAUGUUUUCCAAAAAUAACUAACAAAACGAACAUCCCUAUCAGUCACGAUUGAUUUUGGUGAACCAUGAAGACGUACAAUUUCAGCUAUGAAAAGUUUUGUGAUAUAGAUAGCAUCGGAUGUCUUACGACAAGAAACAAAGUGAGCCAUUUUAGAAAAACGAUCAACUACAACGAGAAUAGAAUCGUGCCUUCUAAUUGUUUUUGGUAGACCUAAAACAAAAUCCAUACUUAGAUCUUGCCAAGGAGAAUGUGGAGCAGGUAAGGGCGUGUAUAAUCCUGCGUUCUUCCGACCAUCUUUGGCCCUUUGACACGUCCCACAUCGUGCCACAAUGCGCGGAACAUCUCUUUUGAGGCUCGGCCAGUAGAAUCGAUCCUCAACUAUAGAAAUAGUUUUGUCUCGACCAAAGUGUCCAGCUAAGCCUCCUGCGUGAAGUUCCCAAAUAACGAAAUCACGUAAUGAGCCAUGUGGGAUGCACAAACGAACACCCCGAAAAAGGUAUCCAUCUCGAAUGACGAAAUCUGGGUCAGUAGAAUUGCGCUCUAAAAUUGAGGAGUAGAUCUCGCUAAAGUCUGGACACGAGGGAUAUUCCUCUUUAACGUUGUCAAACCCAAUUGCACUCACCCCGAAAUUGUUCAAAGUGGCCACGACUCGGCUCAAGGCGUCAGUGGCUUGGUUAUCGGUUCCGGAUCGAUAUUUUAGGACAAAGGUAUAUUCUUGAAGGUAUUCGACCCAUUUGGCAUGCCAAAAGUUUAAGUUUUUCUGUGAAUUGAGGUACCUAAGGGCUUGAUGAUCGGAAAAUAAUACAAAUUCCUUAGGUAAUAAAUAGUGACGCCAGUACCUUAAUGCUUGAACCACUGCAUACAAUUCCUUGUCAUAGGUAGAGUAUUUCAGUUUAGCCUCAUUUAAUUUUUCACUAAAAUAGGCUAUCGGGUGGCCCUAUUGGUUCAAAACUCCACCUAUGCCUACUCCUGACGCAUCACAACAAACCUCGAAAACUUUUUCAAAAUCUGGCAAUUUCAAAACUGGUGCUUUUGUCAUCAAAGACUUAAUUUCUUUGAAAGCUUUAAUGGCCGAUUGUGUCCAUUUAAAUUCACCCUUUUUUAAACAAUUUGUAAUUGGAGCCAUUAUAGUACUAAAGCCUUUAAUGAACCUGCGGUAAAAAGUUGCUAAGCCAUGGAAGCUCCUAACGUCGUGAAUAUUUUUAGGUUCAGGCCAUUCUCUAAUUGCUCUCACCUUUUCUGAACCAACUGAUACCCCAUCAUUGGACACAACAAAUCCUGAAAAGGUGACACGAGGUUGCAUGAAAGCGCACUUUUUAAUGUGGAUGUAAAAUUUUUCUUUUCUUAAAAUUUCAAAGACUUGGCGGAUAUGAUAUAAGUGUUCAUCCUCGGCAUGGCUAUAAAUCAAAAUAUCGUCAAAGUACACAACUAGGAACUUCCCAAUGAAAGGCCUAAAACCUUGGUUCAUAAUCCUCAUGAAAGCACUCGGGGCAUUUGUCAAACCGAACGGCAUGACUAGCCACUCGUAGAAUCCUUCUUUCGUCUUGAAUGCAGUUUUCCACUCAUCUCCAGGUCUAACUCGAAUCUGGUGGUAUCCGCUUCGGAGAUCAAUUUUUGUGAAAAUAGAUGCAUCAGCCAUCAUGUCUAGCAUAUCAUCCAGACGCGGAAUCGAAAAUCGAUACUUAAUCGUGAUUUUGUUAAUGGCACGGCUGUCAACGCACAUACGCUAACUUCCAUCCUUUUUGGGUGUGAGUAGUGCCGGUACUGCGCAUGGACUCAUGCUUUCCCUUACGAAGCCUUUCCUAACUAGAUCAUCUACCUGACGUUUCAGUUCAAAGUGUUCUUUUGGGUUCAUUCUAUAAUGUGGUAAAUUAGGUAAAGACGAGCCAGGGACAAGAUCAAUUGCAUGUUGAAUAUCCUUAAGUGGGGGAAGUUCAUUAGGCAAUUCUUCCGGGGUUAGGUAGUUGAAUUCGGAGAUGAGGUUUUUGAUGACUAGAGGGGUCUCAAUGGGUUCAGGUGGGUUGGAAAUUUCUUUGACAAUUAAAGCGUACAAAACUUGAGAAUCAAUUUCUUUACAAAAUUCUUUUUUGUUAACAAUGUGAACGGGCUUCGUCUUUGAAAUUUCAGAUGAAGGAUUUUUUAAAUCUUUAGUGGAGCUUAAACUCGGAUCUUUUGAAAAUUUAGAGUUUUUUUAUGAAAACUUUUGUUGAGAGGGUUUUGUUGGGUUCAAAACAAUUUUCUUCCCAUAUAAGCAAAAACAUAGGUGUUGGGUCGACCGUAAUUUGUGACAGAAAGAUCAUAAAGCCAAGGUCUACCUAAAAGAACAUGAGCGACAUCCAUAGGAAGAACAUCACACCAAAUCUUGUCGGUAUAGGUAGCAAAAUAAAGUGGAACCAAACAACGCCUUGUUACGGGCAUUGUGGUCUUGUCCACCCACGCAACACUAUAAGGGUUAGGAUGGGGUUCAUCUUUAAGGUUUAGGAGACCUAUAGCGGCUUCAGAAAUCAUAUUGAUACAACUACCACCAUCUAUGAUGACUUGCAGCUUUUAUCUCCACACUUUGUGUAAGUGUGAAAAAUAGAAGUGCGCCUCCAAUCGUCCUCUUCCCUAGGUUGUGUCAAGACACAUCGCAUGACUUGUAAAGCAGGGUUUUCCCCGAACUCAUCCGUUUCUAACCCUUCUUCGUCGCUAGGGAUUUCCUUAGCAGUGUGUGCGACCUCUUCUAGGUUAUCAAAUUCUUCGUCAGUUGGUUGGACAAACAUGCUCCGUUUUGGCAAUUAUGAGCAUAAUGUCCGAUUUGACGACAGUUAUAACACCUACCUUGUGUGUUUCCUGAUUUGGUUUCGUCAAUAGCUAAACCCUUGCCCUUAGGAUCGUAGAUUUGUCGAUUUUGAAAACUGUUCGUUUUAUUAAAAUUCGAGUUGGUGCUCCUUGUGUUCCUAUCAUCCCAUUGUCUAGUGAUUCGACGAGCAGGUGCCUUUAAAUACUUUUCAUAUUUCAAGGCGAGUUGAAAAGCUUGCUCAACUGUGGCGGCUCGGUGCGGCGCAAUUUCGCGCUGCAACUCCUCGCGCAAGCCAUUGCGAAAUCGUGAAAGGGUCCGCUCUUCCCCUUCUCGAAUGUCACAACGGACAUUCAUCUCAUCAAACUUGGCCAUAUAUUUGGCAACUGACAAAGAACCUUGCCGAAAUGCAUUUAAUUGAUCGUACAAUUGUUGUUUGUACGUGGUCGGCAAAUACUUCUCUCUUAAUUUAGCCUUCAUUUCAGCCCAUAAAGUGAUAGGCUCCUGACCAAGUCGCUCUAAGUGUCUUUCGACGCCUAUCCAAUAUUGCUUGGCGGCGCCGAUGAGUUUCAUUUUGGCAAAACGUACUCGACGGUUAUCAGACAUCUCAUACCAAUCAAAAUAUUGGUCCAUGUCAAUGAGCCAGUCCAUAAAAGUUUUAGGAUCAAACUUUCCAUCAUAAGUGGGUGCAUCAAUUUUUACUUUUCGCGUUAUGUCAUCUCGAAAAACAUAGUUUUCAUUUUGAAAAAGUGGAUUAAACCUGGGUUGUACCCGAUGAAUUUCUUGGGGUUGAGGUGCAUGUAACUGCUAGAAAAUUGCGUAUAGUAAAAACACAGCGGAAAAAGAAAUCAAACAAAUUUGAUUUUGAAAACUCUCGAGAUCCAAUCUAAAAAACCACGCAAUUAGGAUCCCUCAUGUUCUUUAAGAUUAAAGAAGAAAAGCAAAAUCGAAUCUUUACCUUUUUCGCGGAUAAAUCUUCAUCUCAAUUUGAUGAUCGUCGAAUCGGAUUCUCUUGAAGCCGCAUAUGCGUCCGGCCUCUAUAGGUAUCCACACGAGAUUGUUGAUUUGAUCAAUAUCCUCACCGGGGUGCUAACUCCCUUGCAAAGGACGUCUUUUUGCUAGAAUAUGAAAAAGAGAAGAGAGAAGAGAUGAUGGCUAAGGUUUUCUAAAAACUCCCGUAUUAUUAUAUAGAAGAAUAUAAUCCUCUAUUUAAUAAUAUAAUAACCAUUAAGAAUAAGUUCAAAUCUAGAUUUAAAUUUAUCCUUUCCUUAAUUUGUUAGAUCGAUCAAAUCCUAAUUUGAUUCGACUUGAACUUUAUAUUAAUUUGAUCAUAUCAAAUUAAUAACGCAAUAUUUGCACAUAAGUCCUCUUAUAAUUUACUAACUAUUAGUAAGUUCUCUCUAGUAACAUUUACACCUUAAUACCACUAAUUUGUAAUAAUUACAGAUUAGUCCAAUUAUCAACAUAUUGACAAUUAGGUCCUCCGGCGAUUCAAUAAUCGCGAUCUAGCUAUCCGAUCAAUCACAACCUCUUAUGUGUGUGACCCCAUAGGUUCUAUUCUAUUUAGCAGUGAGAUAUAUUUUGAUCACUAUCAAUAAUAUCACUGAAACUCUUUUCAAUGGAUUGGAACAACUCCAAUUCAGCACAAUAAGAAUUAUCGAUCAUCUAGAUAAUUCUCAUGAGUCUCACAAUCCACCAGUGACGCCUAACAGCAUGUAGUGGCAUUCUAGUAGAAUGGAAUACUGAAUCUCUUGGUGCAGUUACCGUGUGAUACAAUUCUUCUAUCAUGAGUCCCGACUAGACGGAGGUUAUGGAAUAACUCGUCAAACUCCAUCGUCUGUCAUAUGUUAAAUUUAUUCGACUCGAGUUUCUAAUAUCGAAAACCCUUUUCCGCUAUUAACUCUGCCCUGGCCAAGGUCUUCUAAACUCAGUCUCAUAAAUCACAUAGGACUAACACCCCUAUCUACCAAGGGAUAUAAAUUCCAUCUAAAUGCGCACCCUAUUCCUACAAUGAACCUACUGCAGCCAACAUGCACCGCAAGGAUCCGAAUGGCUAGGGACCAAGUGUAUGUAUAGUGAAACUAUAGUAACCUCAUUGUGAAUAGCCGAGGCACCGCAGGUCAAAGGACCAGUCACACUACUGCAACAUUGAGUAAGUCAUUGACGAGUGAGUAGACAUCUAAGUGACUUCUCGUGUUGGUCACGCUUGGUACCCUUGUUCUGUAACAAUCAUCUGCAUAUUCGCUUCAGUGUCCCCACACUAUCGACUCGAGACCCGUCUACCCAAAAGAGAAGCGACCUAUGCACCAAUCUCACCGGAUCAAUCACCGUCCCCGUGAUGAUCCAUUGGUCGGGAGCAUUUAGGAAUUAACCACCAAUCACAAAUGUCUCAAAUUCUCAACUCUUGAGAAUAUAUGUUAUCAUCUUAUUAAUUACUUGGACGAUUCAUGGACACAUACGCAACAUGAAUGAAAAUAAAAAUCCAAAUUUAUUUAUAAUAUUUUAAAAUCAAAUACAAAUUUAUGUCCUAGAAAGAAUACAUGUGUUGGCCUGGUUGGCUUCUAGGGCAUACAUCUAACAGUAACGCAGCUUCUUCUCCAUUAUCAUUGUUUUGUGCAGAUAAUCUUUCAGGGUUCGUUUAUAGGGCGGCAACACGGUUUCCUAGAUCGUCCAAUUUAGUGUUCAAAGCGGUCAAUUGUUGUAAAAUCUAGUCCAUCAUCGCAAGGUCUGAUGAUUUUGGUAAAGGUUGAUAAAAUUUUCCACUCCUAAGGAUUAUACAUUAACCUAGGGCUUUGAUACCAAAUCUGAUGCAGGAUUCGUAAAAUAAAGGAUUAGGAGGUUAAAUAUAAUUGGGACAAAUCCUCAUCUAAUGCAAUAUGAUGGUAGCACAGCGGGAAUUGUAUUCGAAAUUCAACAAAUUAAAUAAUUUUAAGAUGAUCCUAGAGAGUAAAGCAAUGCAAGGCGGACGUUGAAAUUAAAUAAGAGUUUGAGAUGUUUGGAUCAAACCUGUCGGGCUCGGCAAGAGAUAUUAUUAAGAACUAGCGCACAAGGGAUCCACAGGAUGCUUGAUUCAUUGUUGGGUCCGUAGCCUAUUCACCGAUUGCAACCUGUUGGGUCGAGCAAACCAAGCAAAAGGGAGAUGUCAAAGGAUUAGAAAGAAAAAUGAAAAGGACCAGAAAAAAAAAAGAAAAAGGAAUAAGUUUAGGUUUUGGCAGUUAAGAAGUUGAGGGCGAGUUCUUAACGACAAGUCGAUCACGGGAGGUUCAAGCGCAACGAUUGGGCAAGGUUGAAGGCGAUGACGAUGGAAGUACCCGGCAACAGCAUCAACAACGGGAGGUGAACGAAGUGCGGGUGCAGCCAGCGCUGCUGGCAGCAGGCGUUGUCAAAGAUGUUGGCAGCAGAUGCAUCAUUCGCCGGCAACAGGUGGUGUUGAUGACGCUGGCGGCGGAUGGCGGUGACGUUCUAGCAGCAGGGUACGUCCAAGGUGCUGUCAGCAGAUGGGUGGACUUCAGGUUGGAGAAGAAAUUGCAAAGAAAAGAUAAGAUAAAAGGACUCGCUCCCUACGAACUCGCUCCGGUCGACGUAUAAAUGCGAAGGAAUAUUAGAGAACACAUCUCAUAGGAAAUAAUAAUAUUCUUCUUCAUUGAUUAAUUAUCGUCCAAUACAUAGAAUAUUUAAAGAGCUUUCCUAACAGUGAUAAGCUCAAAACAAAAUCCUAAUAAUAAAAUCUCUACCAAAUUAACAACCUUCAUAACAACUACUAGAUAAAAUCCUAACAAUAAAAUCUUUACCAACUUAACAACUUCCAUAACAUCUUCUAGAUAAAAUCCUAACAAAAUCCUAACAACCUGAUAAGCUCAAAUAACCGAAAAGCGAAUAUCCUAGAUGCUUCUAGAAAUUCGUACGUUCGAUUCAACCCGGACCUAUCUCUAGUCAUUCAAGCCAUAAGUCCCAAUUGCGGUUGCGGCGUCGACGACGUUCGUACACCCGAAAGGUCCGAUCCGCAUCAGAGUGUGUGUGUGUGUGUGCACGUUCGAAAGAAUUAGGAAGGCUUAAUAGCCGAUUUUUCAGCGGCCGGAGGUCAGGUCAGUGGCGGCACAAGUAUGGGUGAUGCUAUGACGGCUAGGGCUU